rnacentral:rRNA from 1 species
CCAACAGGGAUUGCCUCAGUAACGGCGAGUGAAGCGGCAACAGCUCAAAUUUGAAAGCUGGCUCUUUCAGGGCCCGCGUUGUAAUUUGUAGAGGAUGCUUCGGGUGCGGCGCUGGUCUAAGUUCUUUGGAACAAGACGUCAUAGAGGGUGAGAAUCCCGUAUGUGACUGGCUGCCUGUGCCUGUGUGAAGCUCCUUCGACGAGUCGAGUUGUUUGGGAAUGCAGCUCAAAAUGGGUGGUGUACUUCAUCUAAAGCUAAAUAUUGGCCAGAGACCGAUAGCGCACAAGUAGAGUGAUCGAAAGAUGAAAAGCACUUUGGAAAGAGAGUUAAACAGUACGUGAAAUUGUUGAAAGGGAAGCGCUUGCAAUCAGACUUGCGCGGCGUCGAUCAACCUGGGUUCUCCCUGGUGCACUCGGCGCUGCUCAGGCCAGCAUCAGUUUCGGCGGUUGGAUAAAGGCCUAGGGAACGUGGGUUACUUCGGUGACUGUUAUAGCCCUAGGUGCAAUGCAGCCUGCUGGGACUGAGGACCGCGCUUCGGCUAGGAUGCUGGCGUAAUGGUUGUAAGCGACCCGUCUUGAAACACGGACCAAGGAGUCUAACAUCUAUGCGAGUUUUUGGGUGUCAAACCCAUAAGCGUAAUGAAAGUGAACGGAGGUGAGAACCCUUAAGGGUGCAUCAUCGACCGAUCCUGAUGUCUUCGGAUGGAUUUGAGUAAGAGCAUAGCUGUUGGGACCCGAAAGAUGAUGAUCUAUACCUGAAUAGGGUGAAGCCAGAGGAAACUCUGGUGGAGGCUCGCAGCGGUUCUGACGUGCAAAUCGAUCGUCAAAUUUGGGUAUAGGGGCGAAAGACUAAUCGAA